rnacentral:rRNA from 1 species
AAUAUUGCGCAAUGGAGGAAACUCUGACGCAGUGACGCCGCGUAUAGGAAGAAGGUUUUCGGAUUGUAAACUAUUGUCGUGAGGGAAGAAAAUGACAGUACCUCAGGAGGAAGCUCCGGCUAACUAUGUGCCAGCAGCCGCGGUAAUACAUAGGGAGCAAGCGUUAUCCGGAAUUAUUGGGUGUAAAGGGUGCGUAGACGGGAAAUUAAGUUAGUUGUGAAAUCCCUCGGCUUAACUGAGGAACUGCAACUAAAACUGGUUUUCUUGAGUACUGGAGAGGAAAGUGGAAUUCCUAGUGUAGCGGUGAAAUGCGUAGAUAUUAGGAGGAACACCAGUGGCGAAGGCGACUUUCUGGACAGUAACUGACGCUCAGUCCCGAAAGCGUGGGGAGCAAA